CCAAAGCGAGAGGUGAAAUUCUUAGACCUUCGGAAGACGAACAGCUGCGAAAGCGUUCCGCAAGGAUGUUCCCUUUGAUCAAGAACGAAAGUUGGGGGAUCGAAGACGAUCAGAUACCGUCGUAGUCUCAACUAUAAACUAUACCAGCUAGGGAUCGGCCAACGUUACUUUAACCGACUUGGUCGGCACCUUAUGAGAAAUCAAAGCAUCUGGGUUCCGGGGGGAGUAUGGUCGCAAGGCUGAAACUUAAAGGAAUUGACGGAAGGGCACCACCAGCCGUGGAGCCUGUGGCUUAAUUUGACUCAACACGGGA
rnacentral:rRNA from 1 species